GGCCCUAGACGCGCCCCGCAAGCA
rnacentral:tRNA from 1 species